GGUGGCUCAGUGGUACAGCGCUUGCCUGGCAUGCAUGAGACCCUGGGUUCGAUUCCUCAGCACCA
rnacentral:tRNA from 1 species